CCUACGGGAGGCAGCAGUGGGGAAUAUUGGGCAAUGGGCGCAAGCCUGACCCAGCAACGCCGCGUGAAGGAAGAAGGCUUUCGGGUUGUAAACUUCUUUUAUCAGGGACGAAGCAACUGACGGUACCUGAGGAAUAAGCCACGGCGAAAUACGUGCCAGCAGCCGCGGGAAUACGUAGGUGGCAAGCGUUAUCCGGAUUUACUGGGUGUAAAGGGCGUGUAGGCGGGAGUGCAAGUCAGAUGUGAAAACUAUGGGCUCAACCCAUGGCCUGCAUUUGAAACUGUACUUCUUGAGUGCUGGAGAGGCAAUCGGAAUUCCUGGUGUAGCGGUGAAAUGCGUAGAUAUAGGGAGGAACACCAGUGGCGAAGGCGGAUUGCUGGACAGUAACUGACGCUGAGGCGCGAAAGCGUGGGGAGCAAACAGGAUUAGAUACCCUUGUAGUC
rnacentral:rRNA from 1 species